CUGUCUCUUUGCUUCAACAGUGUUUGGACGGAACAG
rfam:Pongo abelii chromosome 20.